rnacentral:lncRNA from 1 species
CUCCCCACCCCAUCCCACCUCCGGUCCCCAGGGAGGGUGAGGCCCUCCAUGGGGAUCCCCCAAAGUCUCAAUACUGAAAAUUUUAGAGAACGUGUAAUUACACGUGUAAUUACAAGAGGGCAAGACCUUGUGUAGGAAAUUUAUUCAACUGCCAACUUCUUGAACUAAACGAUUUAAAAAAUUGUGUGUGGGGAUAUCCAAAUGUGAUUGUCUCUAACAAUUUCCAAGGGGAUGUGUAUCCAUUAAAGGUGGAGUUUGUGGGUAGACAGUAUUUCUAAGACUUACUGGAAAUCUUUGUUGACAAUUUGCAAGUGUUUAUUCAAUGGAGACAGAGGAAUGUAUCCCAAUUAAGAAAGGAAGAAAGAGAGUAAACACAUUUGAAGUUACAGCAAGCAAACUUCCCAUCACAAUCUUGUACAAUCAAGAUAUAGGAACUGAAAAGGUGGUGGUAUAGCCCUAAAUACCAACUACAUGGAAUGCUGAGGCAGGAGGAUCACCAAGUUCAAUGUCUUCCUGCACUACAGAGUAAAUUCAAAGACAUUCUGAACAACUUUCUAAGACUCAAAAUAAAAAGAGAGCUGGUUUUCCUUAGAGAUAGGGGGCUUGUAACAUGGAUCGAACCAUAGGAGAGCUACGUAGAACUAAGGAAAGAACAAGAGAUAGGAGGGAGGCAGGAAGGGAAGGAAGGGGAAAAGGAAACAGUUAAAGAACACAGUUUUGAACAAUGAGCAGUAGCAGGGUUUGGUGGCUCACACCUGCAGUCCCAGAACUUGGGAAGCUGAGCCAUGAGGAUCACAAGCUGGGGACAGCCUAGUGGAGAACCUGCCAAACAACAACAACCAAAAACCAGCAAGGGCCCCUACUUGUGAAACCAAGUAAGUGCCCUAAUUUUUAUAGGAGGUAUUUCUCCUGAAUAACAUAAAAAGGAACUAUUUGAUGCAAAGUGAAAUAAAUGGGUGAGAAAAACACCUCUGUGUUCUAAAUCCAUUUAAAGAAAACUAAACACAGACUCUCAUGGGGUAAAUAUAACACAUUUGUACAGGCACAGGGAGAUUUUAGCUAACAUAGCAAUUUAACGCACUCUUCCCUCUUCAAAUGUUAUAAUUUUCAGCAGUUGAAAGCCAAAAAAAAAAAAAUUCUCUAUUUUUAGUGUUAGUAUUUCAUAUAAAAACAUUUUCUAUGCUCCAGAGAGACAUUUGGAUCUGAUAUUGCAGUCACCUGAAAAUUCUAAGUGUUGAGAAACAAGGGGAAAUAUUUCUGGAUCUAAACCAACAGUCCAUUUCCCCAGAAUUCCUGACAGCUCUUGCCAAUUAAUGGAAGCCUGGGUCGAUGUCUGCCUUGCUGUUUACUACAAAUGGCUCACCUAGUUGAGAACCACUUUGCAAUGUAGCACCUUUCUCUGCUUUUAGUAAUUACUACCAAAGCAGGCUUCAUUUGAGCAUAUUAGGAGCAGUCUGGCAUUUUGGGUGGAGCAGAGUUUAAGGGAAACAGUGAGGUUAUCUCCUCCGUGACACAUUUAACUGGCCACUCCCAAAGAAUUCCAGCUCUCGGAACGGCUGAAUUUCCAGCCACAACAAUGUUAAAGAUGAAUGCGGAAGAAAAGAGCCAAAGAAUCCACCAGAGAGUGAAAUCUGCCUGCGUCUGCGUACAAAUAAAAUGUAAGCUCUCAGCUACUGCUUCAGCACCAUGCCUGCCUUCCUGCUGCUAUGUUUCCUGCCAUGAUGGCCAUGGACUCGUCCUCUGAAAGGACAAGCAAGCCCCCAAUUAAAUGCUUUCUUUGUUCUGCUACUCUCGGGUUCCAGAAUGAGGAAAACCUGGUUGCCACAUGUUCAGUUUGCCUAUAAUACAUAGGCCCUAAAUGCCAAGUUUACUGUGUGUCUGGCAGUUGAUAGUGACAAAAGACCAACACAUGAUUCUUGGGCUGUCUAAUUAUCAGCUGACUAGGAAAGGAACAGAUCUCUUUUUUGAAAUUAUGGACAUCUGGCUGGCCUUUGUAUUUCCUGAAGAUGCUAUGAUGAUUGCCAUGGAGGAAAAAUCAUGAACUGUCUUUCCCACCUGUGAACCCUGUAACCUACAAAAACAACUGGCCUGGCAAAGUAUGUUCACUGGUGCAAUAGUGGCAUAGCUGUUUUGACGGUAACCAACCAUCUUUUUAAAUAAAGUUAUGGUCUAUUUCACAGGAGACAAUUCAUUCCUGGUACUAUAGAUAUGGCCAAAAAGCCAUAGCUGGGAGCUCAGAAGUUCUAUGGGAGAACCUAAUAUAAUUAUUUUGCCAAAUGCUCAUAGUGCC